GACGAACGCUGGCGGCGUGCCUAAUACAUGCAAGUAGAACGCACAGUUUAUACCGUAGCUUGCUACACCAUAAACUGUGAGUUGCGAACGGGUGAGUAACGCGUAGGUAACCUGCCUGGUAGCGGGGGAUAACUAUUGGAAACGAUAGCUAAUACCGCAUAAUAUUUAUUAUUGCAUGAUAAUUGAUUGAAAGAUGCUAUUGCAUCACUACCAGAUGGACCUGCGUUGUAUUAGCUAGUAGGUGAGGUAACGGCUCACCUAGGCGACGAUACAUAGCCGAACUGAGAGGGUGAGCGGCCACACUGGGACUGAGACACGGCCCAGACUCACACGGGAGGCAGCAGUAGGGAAUCUUCGGCAAUGGACGAAAGUCUGACCGAGCAACGCGGCGUGAGUGAAGAAGGUUUUCGGAUCGUAAAGCUCUGUUGUAAGAGAAGAACGGGUGUGAGAGUGGAAAGUUCACACUGUGACGGUAUCUUACCAGAAAGGGACGGCUAACUACGUG
rnacentral:rRNA from 1 species